AGAGUAGUAUUAGCUGGUUUUAAUACUAGCCCUUUAAUUUUUUUCAAGUAACUGAAGGGCAUCAGAUUAAUGUUAGAUCUAGAGUCUAUCAUAGCUCUUCCUAUAUUUACAUCAUUUAUCACGCAUGGAAGAGUCAACAAUCUUGGAUCCUUCAUUUUAGGUGGAUGAUGUUUCUUUCUCGGUUGCACAAGCACUUCCUGUUCUUCUUCAUUUGCCUCUAAAUCUAUCACUUCUCCAAGGUAAUAAUUAAUUUUCUUGGAAUAAACAGGGAUUUGAGGAUGAUUUUCAUCUAUAGGAACCAUAGUCACUUGAUUAAAUAUUUCUCUCAUCUGCCCAUUGUGACCAUCUCUUCUUUUCUCUGUUUCUUCAAACCUCUCCUCUUCUUUCUCUUCUUUACCACUCUUAAUAUCUUCACUCUCACUUAUCUCUUCAUCUUCCUCCUUACUAAUUUCUAUCUCAAUAACUUCCACCUCUGCUUUUCUUUUCCCCCUUGCUACAACAGCAUGAAACUCUUCC
rnacentral:lncRNA from 1 species